CCUACGGGUGGCAGCAGUGGGGAAUAUUGGGCAAUGGAGGCAACUCUGACCCAGCAACGCCGCGUGAAUGAUGAAGGUCUUCGGAUUGUAAAGUUCUGUGAUGGGGGAUGAACACAAUGACGGUACCUGACUAAGAAGCCCCGGCUAACUACGUGCCAGCAGCCGCGGUAAUACGUAGGGGGCAAGCGUUAUCCGGAUUUACUGGGUGUAAAGGGAGCGUAGGCGGUUUAGCAAGUCAGAAGUGAAAGCCCGGGGCUCAACUCCGGGACUGCUUUUGAAACUGUUGAACUAGAUUGCAGGAGAGGUAAGUGGAAUUCCUAGUGUAGCGGUGAAAUGCGUAGAUAUUAGGAGGAACACCAGUGGCGAAGGCGGCUUACUGGACUGUAAAUGACGCUGAGGCUCGAAAGCGUGGGGAGCAAACAGGAUUAGAUACCCCUGUAGUC
rnacentral:rRNA from 1 species